CUCGAACUUCGAUGCGACUUUUCUCUGCAGAAGUUACUCCACCGCACGUAAAGCAGCUCCAUCGAACGCACGCUCUCUCUCUCUCUCUCUCUCUGGGUCGUGGCUGAGGAGCGGAAGACGCAUCCCCGCAUGGCCGUCCCUUCGAGCUCUCACCAGAGUCCCAAGAGCGAGGCCUCUUCCCGUAAGCAGAAGGAUGAGAGCAAGAACCAGAGGGAGGAGGGCGACGGUGGUGGCGAUGGGUUGAAGGAUGCCAAGCGUAACAACAACCCCGGAGUUCGAGUCGUUGGAGGCCGAAUCUACUGCCCUUUCAAUGGCAAGACUUGCCACCAGUGCCGUCAGAAGACGUUGGAUUUCACAGCUGCUUGCAGAAUCAUGAAAGGAGACAAGCAGUGUACCAUUAAGUUUUGUCACAAGUGCCUCUUGAACAGGUAUGGAGAGAAAGCGGAAGAUGUGGCAGCGUUGGAGAACUGGAAAUGCCCUAAAUGCAGAGGCAUUUGCAACUGUAGCUUUUGCAUGAAGAAAAGGGGUCACAAGCCCACUGGUAUAUUAGUACACACAGCUAAGAAGACUGGAUUUUCCUCUGUAUCUGAGAUGUUGAGCGUUGGAGGUCCUGAAAGUCUUGAUCUCAACAAGCCCGCAAAACCUGCAGAUGUCUCAUCAAAGAAUUCUGAUUCAGACGAGAAUCUUGCUGUUCUCUCACCAAGAAAACAGGGAAAGGAGAAUUCUUCGGAUCACAAGAUUGACCUAAAUUUGAAGUUGGACAGUUCGACAGCCAACUCUGUUAAGAAGUCUUCGAAGAAAAGAAAACCUGAUGGGCUAAAUGAAACAUGUGAUACGAACGUUGACGAUGAAUCUAUUCCGAAGGACAGAACCCGGAAAAAACCUGGUGACAGUGAAAAAGUUUCUGAUAGGGAGGCACAACGCAAUAAGAAGAACAAGCGCGUCAUUAAAGCGAGAAAGAACAUGGUUGUAGAUGUGUCCAGGGGCAUAUCUUCUGGUCUUGUUAAUGAAGAGAAACCCAACAUGAGGCAGGAUGCUUCAGGAUCACCAGCUGCUAGAGCCUAUCAAGCUGCAGUGAAAAGUAAGUUUACUGCAGAUCCUGUCAAAGUCAAUGGCCGUUCUGCGAUCCUUCAGAACAAGGAGUUGCAUGCUGACAUCCCGCUGCCGGAAGGCAUCCUCUUGACUGGUGUGGCUGGUGUGGAGUUGCCUUCUGAGGUCAUUGGAGAUGCAUUGCAAUUUUUGGAAUUUUGUGCUGCUUUUGGCAAGGUCCUUGAUAUCAGAAAAGGAGAAGCUGAAUCUAUAAUUCGAGAAUUAACAUGCGGGAGAAGGCGGCGCCAUGGGCAGGCUUCUCUAAUUGUUCGGUUUCAUAUCCAAUUGAUUUCUUUGAUACUGAAGGAUAUGGGGGAUGAGUUUCCAUCUAUAACAUCGGCUGAUGGUAGGAAUUCAUGGUUGCAAGCUAUUGGAAAAUGUCUCUCCGACUCCAAAUGUACAUUUAAGGACUUCCAUCUUGAUUGCCUUGAUAAAGGUGUUGAUGGAUAUGAUGAAUUAGACCUAUCGAAAAAGCUUAGGCUUUUGAAUUUUCUGUGUGAUGAAGCUCUAAGUACAGAAAACCUGAGGGGAUGGAUAGAAGAUCAGAAUCUACGAUAUGUUGAAAAUGGAAAGGAAGCAAGAGGAAAGCUUCUUGAAGUGAAGGAAAAGGAGAAACUUUUAAAGCAGAAGAUGAAGAAUGAUGUGACCGAAGUUAUUAUUGCAAAAAAUGGUGUUCCUCUUUCAGUUUCGGAGCAUGAUGCUAUUGUGUCACAAGUAAAACAUGAAAUCGCCCAGGUUCAUGCUGAGAUGCUGGAGAUGAGCAGGAUAUCCAAGAAGCAGCAGAGAUCAGAUGCUGUUAGAACAGAGCCUGUCAUUGUGGAUGGCUAUGGGCGCACCUUUUGGAAGUUGAAAGGGUACAAAGGUGAACCUGAUGUAUUGCUUCAAGACAUUUUAUCUUUGUUUCCUUGCAGUGCGUGAUUCGGCUGGACCAGAAGAAAAAUGGCUCAUCUUUGAUGCUGAAAAGAAACAAGAAAUUGACAGAUACAUCUCUUCAUUGGUAAGAAGAUCCAAAAUUCAAAAGAUCUACCCAUGCACUAACUGAUUCUUGAAAGCUGACGCAAAGAGAGCAUGUCUUGUUGACUCAUAGCUCAGCCUGCCAAACCCUUUUUGGCCCCCCUGUCUUAACAGUUGAAAGAGGAGUUCAUUUUGUAACCGCUGUACGACUCCACAAAAUUAGGAAGCGAAAUGUAAACCUGUUCUAGAGGGGAACUUUAACCUGUAAUUCCUUUGGGCAAGGAUGUUUUUAAGAUUUUGAAAAGACCAUACUGCACCUGAUUUUGAAGAAUAUUUACUAAGAAAGACUAUUCAAACCAA